UUCGCCUGUUUAUCAAAAACAUCUUUUCUCGUUAGUUUUUGAAGUAUGGCCUGCCCGCUGACUUUGGUGUUGAAGGGCCGCGGUAUUUUGACCGUGCAAAGGUAGCAUAGUCAUUAGUUCUUUAAUUGUGAUCUGGUAUGAAUGGCUUGACGAGGCAUGGGCUGUCUUAAUUUUGAAUUGUUUAUUGAAUUUGGUCUUUGAGUUAAAAUUCUUAGAUGUUUUUAUGGGACGAGAAGACCCUAUAGAGUUUAACAUUUGUUAUGGUCCCCUUUCUGUUUGUGAGGGUUCAUUGGGCCGUUUAAUAUGUUUUGUUGGGGUGAUGGGAGGGAUUAAUUUAACCCCUCCUUUUUAUUAUUAUAUUUAUUUAUAUUUACUUGAUCCAUUUAUUUUGAUUGUAAGAUUAAAUUACCUUAGGGAUAACAGCGUAAACAAA
rnacentral:rRNA from 1 species